CAAAUACAGACGAGAUUAUGUGAGAAUUAUGUGAGAGUUUAUGCAUAUUUUUAUAGUUUCAAACUUUAAAUAAAUAUCAAAAAACAUUCGCGACACAGUGGCGAUCCUGCCAGGACGGCGUUGCUGGGAGAAACAGUGAAUUGUGAGUCAAAUUAAGCGAUAAUUUUAACAUUUUGGGAGUCACAACAAGCGAGCAAAAUGGCCGACGUUGUAGAGAAAAAGAUCGAAGGUAAGCUUCGUUUGUUGAAGUUUAACAAUGAACAAACAACAAAAAUUGUGGAAUCAGCUGAUCUAAAAGCUAUUGAGAGACACGUGAGCG